AUGAACGCUGGCGGCGUGCCUAAUACAUGCAAGUCGAGCGAACAGACGAGGAGCUUGCUCCUCUGACGUUAGCGGCGGACGGGUGAGUAACACGUGGAUAACCUACCUAUAAGACUGGGAUAACUUCGGGAAACCGGAGCUAAUACCGGAUAACAUGUUGAACCGCAUGGUUCAACAGUGAAAGACGGUCUUGCUGUCACUUAUAGAUGGAUCCGCGCCGCAUUAGCUAGUUGGUAAGGUAACGGCUUACCAAGGCAGCGAUGCGUAGCCGACCUGAGAGGGUGAUCGGCCACACUGGAACUGAGACACGGUCCAGACUCCUACGGGAGGCAGCAGUAGGGAAUCUUCCGCAAUGGGCGAAAGCCUGACGGAGCAACGCCGCGUGAGUGAAGAAGGUCUUCGGAUCGUAAAACUCUGUUAUUAGGGAAGAACAAAUGUGUAAGUAACUAUGCACGUCUUGACGGUACCUAAUCAGAAAGCCACGGCUAACUACGUG
rnacentral:rRNA from 1 species